CUACCCGGGUAUCUAAUCCUGUUUGCUCCCCACGCUUUCGUGCCUCAGUGUCAGUUGCAGUCCAGAAAGUCGCCUUCGCCACUGGUAUUCCUCCUAAUAUCUACGCAUUUCACCGCUACACUAGGAAUUCCACUUUCCUCUCCUGCACUCAAGUUAAACAGUUUUAAUGGCUUACAUUGGUUGAGCCUAUGCCUUUCACCACUAACUUGUUAAACCACCUGCGCACCCUUUACGCCCAGUUAUUCCGGAUAACGCUUGCCCCCUACGUAUUACCGCGGCUGCUGGCAC
rnacentral:rRNA from 1 species